GAGGGUAUAGCUCAGUGGUAGAGUGCAUGCUUAGCAUGCCCAAGGCCCUGGGUUCAAUCCCCAGUACCUCCA
rnacentral:tRNA from 1 species